UUGUAAAGCACUUUUAUCAGGAGCGAAAUCGGCGUGGUUAAUACCCGCGUCGUCUGACGGUACCUGAGGAAUAAGCACCGGCUAACUUCGUGCCAGCAGCCGCGGUAAUACGAAGGGUGCAAGCGUUAAUCGGAAUUACUGGGCGUAAAGGGUUCGUAGGCGGUUAGUUAAGUCUGUUGUGAAAUCCCCGGGCUCAACCAGGGAAUGGCAAUGGAUACUGGCUAGCUGGAGUGUGUCAGAGGAUGGUGGAAUUC
rnacentral:rRNA from 1 species